GCGAAGGCUGGCACAGAAGAGCAGCGCGUCCCAGAACAAAUACUCACAGGAUUCAUCCGUACUUGUCAGUGAGACUCUCUCCUUCCAGAGCGAGCAGCUGAAGAUGGAUAACGGCGGGGGAAAAGAGCGUGGAGGAGAGAGCGGAGGAGAGCCCGGCAAGGGUCAAGGGUCAGAGGAAAAGAAAUGCCGACAUAAACACAAAAAGGGACACCACCACCAGGGUUGCCACAAAGGGCCCAAAGAGAGUCAAGGGUCGGACAGCAGUGACUGCAGCUGCGAGUCCGACUAGCUCUUCACAACAGGAAGUGGCCAUGGUGAUUCAUGCUGAGCUGAUUCAAGUACCAUUGGCAUAAAAUAAAAUGUUC